CUCGCCGCCGCUUCACGCUGGCGGUGUCCCCAGCGGGGGUAGCACUUGCUGCUGCUGCUGAGGAGGGGCCAGCCCGCGUUUCCCCCCCGCAAGCAGCGCACGGCGGGACUGAGCCCCUGCCCUGUCCUCAGCCCGCCCGGACCCGCAUGGCGUGCUACCUGGUCAUCAGCUCCAGGCAUCUCAGCAACGGGCACUACCGUGGCAUUAAAGGAGUCUUCAGGGGACCGCUCUGCAAGAAAGGCGCUCACUCCUCGAGUGUAAUAUACUGUGCGGCAGGACCGAGCCAAAGUGAGUUGAUAUUAUCCAGACAUUGAAGCAAUUUGUGUCUGUGAAUCAAAAUCAGCCUGGGCAGAAGCCAGUGGAAUUCAACGUGAACAAUCAAUUUAAAGCCAGUGGAAUUGUGCCUACUUGUGCCAUGGGUGAAUUUGGCCCUAAGUUGAUUAAUUGUAUUGUCAUAAUUAAAACUUCUGAUUCAUGAUGUUAAUAUUCUGAGCCUACAAAAUAUAUCUACUAUUUAUGUUAGUUUGUAAGAUCAAUGCCAUAUCUAUAGUGAAUCAGGAAAGUUAAGAGAGAAAUAUCAUUACUUGUGUUGAAGAAUUUUAGUUUGGCACAAUUUUUUUAAAUGCUGAUGUAGAACAUCUCUGUGUGUGGUUUGUACAAAUGUAUUCUGUUCUAUAGCUUGUUUGUGAAUUAAUUGUUAUGAGUAUUCCACUGAAAGAGAUAUUGAGGAUUUGUAGGUAGGGCCCUACCAAAUUCAUGGUCCAUUUUGGUCAAUUUCACAGUCAUAGGAUUUUAAAAAUUGUAAAUUUCAUAAUUUCAGCUAUUUAAAUGUAAAAUUUCACAGUGUUGUAAUUGUAGGGAUCCUGACUCAAAACAGCGUGUUGUGUGUGUGUGUG
rnacentral:lncRNA from 1 species